rnacentral:misc_RNA from 1 species
AGACUAUCAUCGCCAUAUAAGGAUGAGACUCCAUGAACUUCAAGAUAGUUUUGGGUAUAUGUAUUGAUGAUGAAAAUCUCUUAGAUUCUGCAGUUUAAAUGUUCGAGAAAAGACCCAUAACAAUGAGUUAAAAGGAGAUUAUCUUUAUUAUGUCUUGAAGAUCCGUGUUAGUCAAUUCUUAGUGAAAAGAAAAAGGGAAUCAGCUUAUUGAAAACAGUAAAAAUGGGUAACA